rnacentral:rRNA from 1 species
AUUGAACGCUGGCGGCAGGCCUAACACAUGCAAGUCGAGCGGAUGAAGGGAGCUUGCUCCUGGAUUCAGCGGCGGACGGGUGAGUAAUGCCUAGGAAUCUGCCUGGUAGUGGGGGAUAACGUCCGGAAACGGGCGCUAAUACCGCAUACGUCCUGAGGGAGAAAGUGGGGGAUCUUCGGACCUCACGCUAUCAGAUGAGCCUAGGUCGGAUUGGCUAGUUGGUGGGGUAAAGGCCUACCAAGGCGACGAUCCGUAACUGGUCUGAGAGGAUGAUCAGUCACACUGGAACUGAGACACGGUCCAGACUCCUACGGGAGGCAGCAGUGGGGAAUAUUGGACAAUGGGCGAAAGCCUGGUCCAGCCAUGCCGCGUGUGUGAAGAAGGUCUUCGGAUUGUAAAGCACUUUAAGUUGGGAGGAAGGGCAGUAAGUUAAUACCUUGCUGUUUUGACGUUACCAACAGAAUAAGCACCGGCUAACUUCGUG